CGCUCCCCUCCUCCAAGACCCUCGAUGCCAGGUCCUUCGAAUCGGACGCUAACAGUUCCUCUUGGGAUGACGACCCAGGUAUCAUGAGCAAGGCUGAGACUUUCUCCACUGGGCGCAGCAGGAACGUGAAGCCUCGGACCUCCCUUCCAAUAGUGCACACGCCCUCCAAGACCCUCGAGCGACCCCUGGAGCAAUAAGAAAUUAGAAUUGACAGAGAAACCAGACAAGGGACUGCAUUUGAAGAAGCACAAGAACCAAGAAAUUACAUCAUUCAAUGAAAUGACAACAAAUCUAAAGCAAAAGGCGUUGCAGAAAGAGCGCAAGAUCACUGUGUUGUGGGAGAAGAGAGUCCCUUAGUGGUCAGCUGGUGACGGUCCACAACCACAGCCACUUUGAAGAGAAUGGCCUCAGCCACGACCACCUUGCUCAAGAAAAUAUCACGUUGACAGAGCUGAUUAAACAACUAGAAGAUAAGCUCAAACUUUCAAAGAUAGAAAUCAAAGACGUCACAAGACAGAAUAGUGAGCUGCAUGCACUUAUCACAGAGUAUAAAGUCACUCCCUCAGAGGAAAAAGACAAGGAUGGCACCUCUUCAUGUGAGAACUCAGAAGCUAAAUGUACAGAUACCAAGGGGAAAUUGCUGGGUCAAGUGGCUACACUGACAUCUGAGGUUAGCAGGUUGGAGAGUGAGUGCAGCAGUCUUCAGGUUCAGCUAGACUGUGAGAGCGAUAAGUAUAACAAACUGCUGGGAGAAUCUCUUGCUCAUGAAAAGUUGUCUGAAGAUGUCAUAACUGAACCAAAAGGUGACUACUUCACCAUCUACCAGUUGCAGCGAGGAGUGAUGAAGCAGCAAGCUCGAGAACGCCAGUUAGACCUUGCCAGCCUCCAUCAUGAAUGAGAGGAAAUGAAGCAAAACCACUCAGCAGGAUUUGAUAUCAAAGCUGGUGCAGGAAAAGGAAGCAGAUCAUGACCUUGAGCAGCUCGAGAAGAUAAGCAGCGUCCUUAAGAGUCCAGUUGCUAUCAUUAGCAGUGUUGGAACCAGUGAGUCUGAGACACCCACCAGCAGUGGAAAGGUGGCUGACGAGCGCCUCAAACACCAAAAAAGACCAAAACUGUUACUGCUGCCACACUGCCACCACUUCCACUGACACCAAAAGCCCAACUGUGCAGAGAAUCCUGGACCUCCGCAAUGAAAUGGAGUCCACCAGUCACCUGGAGCACUUUAGCCUCCAAAAGUUCCAUCCGUGUCCAUUGUGUUUGGGUAAACUUAUCACUGUAUAAGGGGACAAGUAUCAGUGUAUGGUUACUAUAUACUCAUUUGUACUUAAAGAUGUCAUGUCACAUCAUUCUCUCUCUCUCUCUCUCUCUCUCUCUCUCUCUCUCUCUCUCUCUCUCUCUCUCUCUCUCUCUCUCUCUCUCUCUCUCUCUCUCUCUCUCUCUCUCUCUCUCUCUCUCUCUCUCUCUCUCUCUCUCUCUCUCUCUCUUUCUUUCUUUCUUUCUUUCUUUUGUUGCAUAUUUUACUGCUUUACAUUCCUCCCCACAGUAUUUUUUCAUCUACUUUAUGACUGCAGUAGUUUUAUCAUCCCAGUGUAUGCCGUAUCCACUCUGAAACUGUAAUUCACCAAUCAGCUCAAAUGUGUCUCAGUUUUGAUAAUCAUUAAUUUGUUUCAGCUACACAACCACUCUGAUAAGGGACAAAAUCUACUUCACCAGUCAUCUAUGUCAUACAGUCAUAUAUAUUCAUACAUAUGACAAAAUACUCUUCCUAAGACCUGUCCAUCUAUCUAAGGUACCACAUAACAUUUAAAACUUACAAUAUUGUGUUUAAUUCAUGAACACUUUUUUGUCUAUCUAUGUAGACUUGAAAUUGUAUUGCGUAUAGACUUGAAAUGUAUUGGGAGUUUUCUUUAUCUCUCAUUCUAUACCUAACACCUGUUCCUAAGAAUCCCCAGGUGAUAGCCAUGGUGACUGGCUGGUCUCCUACUGAGUGGCUGGGGUUUUCCAAAAGUGAGGGUUGGUGUUCUAUACCAUACCAUGUGCCCUGUUUGUAUUCCUUCUUUGUCCUCUGUAUUAUAUUCUAUGUAAAGAUGGUGCUGGGGUGGGAUCUACUUCUUAUUCCCUAAAAGUGAUGGGGAGUGACACUGGGCAGCAUUGAUUUGCUCCUUAGAGAUGGCUGGGUUCCUGUGGAUGAGUGGGCCAUGCUGUGCUUUGUCAAGGAUGGUGUUUGGUAUUGUGAUGACUCUUGCCACAAUCAAGUGUCUCCCACAGAGUAGUGGAGUACCUAUGUAUGGUGUUGACCCAAGCUGUCCAGGUCUCAUCCAAUGCCUUAAUAUGAUUUAGAUUAUCAAAAUGGUUUAACUCACCAUUUAAUCAGCUGACUGAUUUGAAUAGAGAAGUAUGUAAUGUAUAGCCUAACCAUCUCUGCCAGCAUGGUCAGACUCUUGGUAGUAACCCAAAGCGCUCCUAGGUAGUGAGUAUCAUUGCACAUAAUGAUCUUUACUUUGUCAGUAAUUCAAUGAUACUGAAUAUUACUCUACUGGAUUUUGCUCAGCACUGCUUGGUAACUUGGCCAUAAUCCUUGGUCUGGAAUGAUAUGAAGCCAUGUUUUUACAUUCCAUAUGAGACAGGCAAGCACUAUGCUUUGCCUGACUGAUACCUGUACUUUGCAUUUAUGACCCCAGGUAGUUCAUCACUCUCUCUCUCUCUCUCUCUCUCUCUCUCUCUCUCUCUCUCUCUCUCUCUCUCUCUCUCUCUCUCUC